CGCCUAACAGCUAGCCCACCCAACAACACCAACACUACCCUAUCCAUACCCUUAAAAUAUACCCCAUUAAACAAAUAAACCAUUUUUUUCCCCUGAGUAUAGGCGAUAAAAAAGGAACCAGGAGCAAUAGAGAAAGUACCGCAAGGGAACGCUGAAAGAGAAAUGAAAAAACCCAGUAAAGCACUAAAAAGCAGAGACUUCCCCCCUCGUACCUUUUGCAUCAUGUUUUAGCAAGCAACUACUUAAGCAAAAAGUUUUGUAGUUUAAUAUCCCGAAACUAAGUGAGCUACUCCAAGACAGCCUAAUACAGGGCAACCCCGUCUCUGUGGCAAAAGAGUGGGAUGAGCUUCGAGUAGAGGUGACAGACCUACCGAACUUAGUUAUAGCUGGUUGCCUGAAAAUUGAAUAGAAGUUCAGCCCUUUAAAUUCUUCACUUAAUUUGACCCAUAACCUGCCUACAAAACAAAAGAAUUUUAAAGGAGUUAGUCAAAGGGGGUACAGCCCCUUUGAAAUAAGACACAACUUCCCCGAGCGGAUAAAGAUCAUAAUAUAUAAGGACUACAGUGCCAUAGUGGGCCUAAAAGCAGCCACCCAAACAGAAAGCGUUAAAGCUCAAGCACCGCCCCGCCCUCCACCAAUACCGACAACCAUUUCUUAUUCCCCCAACCUUAUCAGGCCUUUCUAUAGCCCAAAUAUAGAAGUACUUAUGCUAAUAUGAGUAAUAAGAGAACACAGACUCUCUCCUUGCACAAGUGUAAAUCGGAACGGACUCACCACCGAACAUUAACAAUCCCAACCACAGAGGGUAUUGGAAUAAAAAUAAACCACUAGAAAACCAUCCAAUAAUUUACCGUUAAUCCCACACUGGUGUGCUCGCAGGAAAGACUAAAAGAAAAAGAAGGAACUCGGCAAACAUAAGCCUCGCCUGUUUACCAAAAACAUCGCCUCUUGAAAACACAACAUAAGAGGUCCCGCCUGCCCUGUGACCAUAG
rnacentral:rRNA from 1 species